rnacentral:rRNA from 1 species
CAUCAUGGCCCUUACGCCUAGGGCUACACAGUACUACAAUGGUGGGUACAAAGGGGCAGCGAAACCGCGAGGUCGAGCGAAUCUCAAAAAACCCAUCAUAGUCCGGAUUGCAGUCUGCAACUCGACUGCAUGAAGUUGGAAUCGCUAGUAAUCCCGGAUCAGCAUGCCGGGUGAAUACGUUCCCGGGCCUU